rnacentral:rRNA from 1 species
UACAGAGGUCUCAAGCGUUUGUUCGGAUUCAUUGGGCGUAAAGGGUGCGUAGGUGGCGCCGUAAGUCGGGUGUGAAAUUUCGGAGCUUAACUCCGAAACUGCAUUCGAUACUGCGGUGCUUGAGGACUGGAGAGGAGACUGGGAAUUCAUGGUGUAGCAGUGAAAUGCGUAGAGAUCAUGAGGAAGACCAGUGGCGAAGGCGGGUCUCUGGACAGUUCCUGACACUGAGGCACGAAGGCCAGGGGAGCAAACGGG